GAGCGGGGCCUCCUCCAAUCAGCUGCAGGCCUGAGUAGAACAAAAGACAACCCCCACCCCCAGUGAAAGAGAAUACCUCUCACCUGAAGUCUUCAAACUGGAACAUGAGCUCCUCUUGGUUCUACGUAGCUUCCAGCCUUUGGACCUGACCUAGGACAGUGGGUCUGCAAAUUUUGGGCUUGACAGCCUCCAGCUGGUGGAAAGAGGUACAGGCCCUGGGAGCAGGACAAGAGUGCCUGACCAGUGAGGGUCAGGGCGAAGCAGGGAGGAGGUCAGCCUGUGGUCCCCGAGAGGGUCCAGGCUGGAUACUGAUCCUUGUCGCUGUUGACCAAAGCAGAGGGCAGGCUGUGUGCCACGUGGCAGGGGGAUCCCCAGGGGUGCAGCGGGCAGCAGAACCAAGUGUCUCAAAGGGAAUCCAGGCAGAAAGUGACGGGGACUGAGCCAAGUCUGGCUGUUGUAAGGUCAGAGAGAGGAGGGGAGACUCAGACAAGAUCCUGUAACCAACCAGGUGUGGGAGGUAAUGUGUGGGUGAGACAUUUUCCACGGGCAUCCUCAGCAUCAGAGAGAAGACCCAAAGCAGGUGUGGCCAGGCAAGAAGCUGGCUGUUCACACCUGCGUGAGGCUGGUCCCCAGGACACAGGCUGGAACCAGAGUGGUCCCCAACCUCGUUGGCACCAGGGACCGGUUUCGUGGAAGACAGUCUUUCCUUAAACCAGAAGGUGAUGGUUUUGGCAUGAGUCAAGGGCAUUUCAUUUCUUGUGCACUUCAUUUCUGUUAUUAUUACAUCAGUUCCACCUCAGAUCAUCAGGCAUCAGACCCUGGAGGUUGGGGACCCCUGAUUUACUGGAUGCUGGAAGACAGAAGGACCAUGGUGGGAGCCUGGGGUCGGGGAAGGCACAUGCCUUAUGCUGAUCGUCUUCUCAGAAGGACACACGAGGAAGCCAGCUGCAGGCGCCGACCCAAGAGCUCGCAUGGACCCCAGGGUCUGGGUGGCUGCUUGGCGGGGGGGCCGACAUGGAGGGGUUUGGAGGAUGUGUACAGUGGUGGGGCACGCAGAUGGAAACAUGAGUUUCCUAGGGUGAAAGUGCAGGACACGGAGACCCCAGUGAUAAGCUUCCAUUAAAAAAAAUUGUUUUGCUAACAUCUCACUGUAAUGGAGAAGAAGCUUUGAGAGUCACCUGGUCCUGCAAGUCUAGCCCCACAAUACUCUCACAGGUCAAGAUUUAUCUGAAAUGCUCAGAGGAGGCCGUCAUAGAUGUUGAUGCAUAUUUCAUCGUGUCUGGCACACUGCUAAUCUCACAAACAGAUUUAUGAAAAC
ensembl:lncRNA